rnacentral:rRNA from 1 species
UACGGAGGGUGCAAACGUUGCUCGGAAUCAUUGGGCGUAAAGCGCACGUAGGCGGACUGUUAAGUCGGAUGUGAAAUCCCCUCAGCUUAACUGAGGAAGUGCACUCGAAAACUGGCAGUCUUGAAUAUGGAAGAGGGUCGCGGAAUUCCCGGUGUAGAGGUGAAAUUCGUAGAUAUCGGGAGGAACACCAGUGGCGAAGGCGGCGACCUGGGCCAAUAUUGACGCUGAGGUGCGAAAAGCGUGGGGGAGCAAACAGG